GACGAACGCUGGCGGCGUGCUUAACACAUGCAAGUCGAGCGGUAAGGCCCUUUCGGGGGUACGACGAGCGGCGAACGGGUGAGUAACACGUGGGUGACCUGCCUUUAGCUCUGGGAUAAGCCUGGGAAACUGGGUCUAAUACCGGAUACGACUCCGCGGUGCAUGCUGUGGGGUGGAAAGCCUUGUGCGGCUGGAGAUGGGCCCGCGGCCUAUCAGCUUGUUGGUGGGGUGAUGGCCUACCAAGGCGACGACGGGUAGCCGGCCUGAGAGGGCGACCGGCCACACU
rnacentral:rRNA from 1 species